rnacentral:rRNA from 1 species
GACGAACGCUGGCGGCGUGCUUAACACAUGCAAGUCGAACGGAAAGGCCCUGCUUUUGUGGGGUGCUCGAGUGGCGAACGGGUGAGUAACACGUGAGUAACCUGCCCUUGACUUUGGGAUAACUUCAGGAAACUGGGGCUAAUACCGGCUAGGAGCUCCUGCUGCAUGGUGGGGGUUGGAAAGUUUCGGCGGUUGGGGAUGGACUCGCGGCUUAUCAGCUUGUUGGUGGGGUAGUGGCUUACCAAGGCUUUGACGGGUAGCCGGCCUGAGAGUGUGACCGGCCACAUUGGGACUGAGAUACGGCCCAGACUCCUACGGGAGGCAGCAGGGGGGAAUAGUGCACAAUGGGCGGAAGCCUGAUGCAGCAACGCCGCGUGCGGGAUGACGGCCUUCGGGUUGUAAACCGCUUUCGCCUGGGACGAAGCGUGUGUGACGGUAAUGGGUAUAGAAACACCGGCUAACUACGUG